CUUUUAAUUUAUUUGAAAAAUCACUUUAGGCUCAUUUAUGAUAAACAGCAUCUAUGGAAGUCUUAAUAAUUCAUAUAUUUAUGUUAUAAAAAUAUAAUAAUCUUGAUUAAUUAAUAGAAGAGGUGAAAUGGGCUAUAAAAAUAAUGCCAAGUUGUUGCUCGUAAUUCAUUAAAUUGCCAUUAAUAUUCUUUCUGAAUUCAUUGUUUGGGUAGCAGGAACAGUUUUCUUUCUUUCUUUCUUUCUUUCUUUUUUUCUUUGCAGGAUUCUUGAAACCUUGUUGGUUCUGCAAUAAUGAAUGUUUCACAAUAUAAAUUUAUUGUGAAUGUAAGCGCAGGAUGUUUUGAUUACAUCAGUGCUUCUUCUGAUGGCACAUGGAAUGUAAAACAUGGAGGAACUAUUCUUGAACAUCCCUUUUUUCGUUUUCAACUUCAAUUAAUUUCAAUGGCCAUUAUUGCUCAUUUCUUUCUUGUUCCUCAAAGCGUUUUGUUUCCCCAGGAUAACCUCUGACUCCCUGGCGGGUAUGCUGUUGGGACCAAUAUUUAUGGAACGAUUCUUUCCUGGAGCAUAAGAACUAUUUUUUCCUCCACCACCCAAUCAAGUAAUGGCUUCAAUGGUAAAGAUUGGAUAUGUUAUUAUGUUCACAUUCCUGGCAGCAGUGAGGAUGGACAUAAGCUUGGUGAAAAGAUCAGGGGCCAGAAUUAUCUUACUGGGGUUUCUUGUAUUUGCACUUCCCUACACGUCAAGAACUCUAAGGGUAAAGUUUGAUCGCAGUGUGAUAAAUGCACAGAAGAGUGCAAGGCUGAAUAAUGCAAAUCUUUAUUUCUAUGCACUCACGACAAGCGAAUUCAUCGACACAAGUGCUCUUCUAGUACAGCAUAAGAUCACUAAUUCUCGGCUGGGACACCUUGCUUUGGCAACAACUUUGGUUAGCGACUUGACAAGACCAAACACAUAUAUACACCUUCAAUAAGGGUUGGGGUUCAGAGCUAUGUGUAUCUGUUUAUUUUCUGGCAUCCACAGUUCUAGUUGCACAAAGAUUGAUAUUGUGGUUCAUUAGAGCAACUCCACAAGGGAAACCCAUAAAUCAUAGCAGCAGUAUUGAUUUCUUCAAGUGUGGGUGAUUCUCUGGGUCUUAAUUAUAUAUUGGGUCCUUUAACUUUAGGUUUGGUAGUCCCUGCAGGUUCUCCAUUAGCCACAAACCUUAUAUCAAAGCUUGACCCUAUCGUCUCGGGCUUGCUUAUUCCACUCCUCUGUACAUACUGUGCUUCCAAAGUUAAUUUGUGGGCAUUUCUCGCCCAUUUUAAUGAAGCUCUCAACUUUCAAAUGGCCUUCAUUGGCUAUGCAAUUAAGUUGGUAGCAACUGCUGCCUUGAUAUUCUUUAUCAA